UCCCCGGUUGCUCUGCUGGUAGGGGCCGCCUGACUUUGAAUCAGGAUUAGGGACGCAGGUUCGAUUCCUGCCCGGGGAG
rnacentral:tRNA from 1 species